rnacentral:rRNA from 1 species
CAUUGGCUCGCUGUGAUGCAGGAAGAGUUCGACGCGCUCCAACGGAACCGCACCUGGCAGCUUGUCUCUCGACCGCCUCAUGCCAACAUCAUCACGGGUAAGUGGGUCUUUCGGCACAAGACUCGUCCGGAUGGCACUCUCAAGCACUACAAAGCUCGUUGGGUGGUUCGAGGUUUUCGGCAACGUGCGGGCAUGGACUUCACCGACACAUUUCCCCCGGUUGUUAAACGGGGCACGAUCCGCACCGUGCUUCAGCUCGCCGUCUCCCGAGCUUGGCAUGUGCAUCAGUUAGACGUUUCCAAAGCCUUCUUGCACGGUCACCUCGUUGAGCAGGUGUUCUGUGAGCAGCCCACCGGCUUCAUCGACGUCACGCAUCCAGACCAUAUGUGCCUGCUCUCUCGUUCUCUUUACGGGUUGAAGCAGACACCUCGGGCCUGGUACCAGCGCAUCGCUGCAUUCCUGCAGACGCUCGGAUUUACAUCGACUCGCUCAAUGCGUCCCUCUUCGUGUACCAUCACGGAGUUGACACGGCCUACAUGCUGCUAUACGUCGACGACAUCAUCC